rnacentral:rRNA from 1 species
AAAUUGAAGAGUUUGAUCAUGGCUCAGAUUGAACGCUGGCGGCAGGCCUAACACAUGCAAGUCGAACGGUAACAGGAAGCAGAUUGCUGCUUCGCUGACGAGUGGCGGACGGGUGAGUAAUGUCUGGGAAACUGCCUGAUGGAGGGGGAUAACUACUGGAAACGGUAGCUAAUACCGCAUAACGUCGCAAGACCAAAGAGGGGGACCUUCGGGCCUCUUGCCAUCGGAU